rnacentral:rRNA from 1 species
UACGGAAGGCAGCAGUGGGGAAUAUUGCACAAUGGGCGAAGGCCUGAUGCAGCUAUGCCGCGUGUAUGAAGAAGGCCUUAGGGUUGUAAAGUACUUUCAUCGGGGAGGAAAAAACAAAACUAAUAAUUUUAUUUCUUGACGUUACCCGAAAAAGAAGCACCGGCUAACUCCGUGCCAGCAGCCGCGGUAAUACGGAGGGUGCUAGCGUUAAUCAGAAUUACUGGGCGUAAAGAGCACGUAGGUGGUUUUUUUAAAGUCAGAUGUGAAAUCCCUGGGCUUAACCUAGGAACUGCAUUUUGAAACUGAAAUACUAGAGUAUCGUAGAGGGAGGUAGAAUUCUAGGUGUAGCGGUGAAAUGCGUAGAUAUCUGGAGGAAUACCUGUGGCGAAAGCGGCCUCCUAAACGAAUACUGACACUGAGGGUGCGAAAGCGUGGGGAGCAAACAGGGAUUAGAUACC